rnacentral:rRNA from 1 species
CCUACGGGUGGCAGCAGUCGAGAAUCAUUCACAAUGGGGGAAACCCUGAUGGUGCGACGCCGCGUGGGGGAAUGAAGGUCUUCGGAUUGUAAACCCCUGUCAUGUGGGAGCAAAUUAAAAAGAUAGUACCACAAGAGGAAGAGACGGCUAACUCUGUGCCAGCAGCCGCGGUAAUACAGAGGUCUCAAGCGUUGUUCGGCAUCACUGGGCGUAAGGCGUGCGUAGGCUGUUUCGUAAGUCGGGUGUGAAAGGCGCGGGCUCAACCCGCGGACGGCACAUGAUACUGCGAGACUAGAGUAAUGGAGGGGGAAGCGGAAUUCUCGGUGUAGCAGUGAAAUGCGUAGAUAUCGAGAGGAACACUCGUGGCGAAGGCGGGUUCCUGGACAUUAACUGACGCUGAGGCACGAAGGCCAGGGGAGCGAAAGGGAUUAGAUACCCGUGUAGUC